GAAAAGAGAAGAAAGAUGGAAAAUGGAAGAGAUGAAGAGGGGGAUGUUCAAGAUGACUCGAAGUGUUGCAGAGCAGUGAUUAAAGAACAAUGGAAGAAGGUGGCGGAGGAAUUUAGUAUGGAAAAAGAAGCUGCCUUCAUUAAAGUUUGUGGUGACGAGCAACAACGAUUUAGCGUUAAAUUUGAUUUGGUUUGGGAAGUUGAUAGAUUUUGAUGAGUCGUCGUUGAAGAUGAACAAUUCACAGGACGACUUGGCUCUCUUCAUGAGCUAAUAGAACGAGCUUUGAGUGUUGAUUCUCUAUGACAUUAGUAGAACCAUUUAUCUAAUUUGUGUAAGAAUUCUCCCUUUCUUUCUCAUCCCUUAUCUUGACAAAAAUUAUUCUAAAUCACAUAACUAUUUUAUCUUUAUAAAUUUAGAAAAAUAUUACAAUCUAUAUCGGGUAGACUACGAUACAUUAAUAUAAACUCCUUCAGGAUAGAUGGUAAUAUUUUUCUAUAAUUUUGUAAAUAUUUUGAGUUUAUUUUA